UGCUGUUUAAUUUGUCUAGCUGUCCAUGCAAGUUUUAUAUUAGCCUAAUUUAGCAUGCUAGGCUAAGUUAAGUUAGCCUAACUUCGCUACAAUCGUUGAUAGGCGUUUAUUAGCUAAUUUUGGCUUCUUUAAAGUCAGCUAAAUGGCCCUUCAAUGUUUAUCUUCUAUCAUUUUUCCUGUUAAGGUUAUAUACUUACCAGUUAACGUGGAAAUAAAGGUGGGAAGCUAUUUUAAAUGUGAUUUCAGAUAGCGAUCUUUAUAUAAGUCUUCUCCCAGCAUGCGGCUUUCAAGUGCAUAUGUUUUCCGUUUUUGCUACUGAACCUGAACCUCAUCCUGAACUACCAAUGUUGUUAUAAAAGCGUUUCAGAACCAUUCUGAUAAAGGGCCUGGAUGAAUGGUUACGUUUGCCAGCAGAGGAUGACCUGGAUUGGACUGGGCUCAGCUGAAAUGAGCAGAGGAGGCUGUGGCGAAGAGGGCUGAACUGAUCCGAAGGUGAAAAACAUCCUCCUCCUCCUUUCUCCUCUCCCCCAGCUGAACAUCUGUCUCCGUGGUGUUGGCUGCAGCACCGACUCUGACACCUCCAGAUGGAGAGCCCGCUGGGAGCGCUGAGGUAUUACCUACAGAGAUGGCAGAGAUCGCACCUCUGGAAUGAAGUCCCACACUUGUUUUCCACACCGUCCCCCUUUUUUGUUGUUGAAUCUGUCACUAUUCACCUUAUAUAUUAUCGCCUUCCCAGUCCUUGGCCUUGCGACUCACCUGAAGAGCAGGCUGUUGGUUUGUAAGGAAAUGCAUGUCACCAAACCUCUCUGCUCCUUUUCUAAUUUACAGUAAUGGGCCGUAUGGUAUUUCAACUGUAACUUCUAUUCGUAGGACUGUAUCAAUUUUUAAUAUAGUUGUCAGAGGACUGCAUACUCAUGCAGAUAUAUUUCAAAUGAUUUCCAUUUCCUUAAAAC